GGAGUGGUAGUUCAGUUGGUUAGAACACCGGCCUGUCACGCCGGGGGUCGCGGGUUCGAGUCCCGUCCACUCCG
rnacentral:tRNA from 1 species